rnacentral:rRNA from 1 species
UACGUAGGGUGCGAGCGUUAAUCGGAAUUACUGGGCGUAAAGGGUGCGCAGGCGGUCUCGUAAGCUGGGUGUGAAAGCCCCGGGCUUAACCUGGGAAUGGCAUUCAGUACUGCGAGGCUUUGAGUGUGGCAGAGGGAGGUGGAAUUCCACGUGUAGCAGUGAAAUGCGUAGAGAUGUGGAGGAACACCGAUGGCGAGGGCAGCCUCCUGGGCAAGCACUGACGCUCAUGCACGAAAGCGUGGGGAGCAAACAGG